rnacentral:rRNA from 2 species
AGUACGGCGAGUGAACAGGGAAAAGCCCAAAUUUGUAAUCUGGCACUUUUUACAAGUGUCCGAGUUGUAAUUUGUAGAGCUGUUAUCCGUACUGGACCAUGUACAAGUCUGUUGAAAAGCAGCAUCAUUGAAGGUGAAAAUCCUGUAAAUGAUAUGGACUACCAGUAUAUUUGUGAUACGGUUUCUAAGAGUCGAGUUGUUUGGGAAUGCAGCUCAAAGUGGGUGGUAAAUUCCAUCUAAGGCUAAAUAUAAGUGAGAGACCGAUAGCAAACAAGUACCGUGAGGGAAAGAUGAAAAGAACUUUGAAAAUAGAGUUAACAGUACGUGAAAUUGCUGAAAGGGAAACGUUUGAAGUUAGUUUUGUAUUCGUUGGAUCAGCUUCGCAAGGAGUGUAUUCUGAUGAUAAGCAAGUCAACAUCAGUCUAUGAGUGUUGGAUAAGGGUUUUGAGAAUGUAGCAAUUUAAUUGUGUUAUAGCUUGAGACUUGGAUACAAUGCUUUGGAUUGAGGAACGCGUAGUAAGCUUUGAGCGGAUUCGAAAGGAUCUCCUUACUAUGGAUGUUGGUGAAAUAACUUUAAGCGACCCGUCUU